rnacentral:rRNA from 1 species
GUGGCGAACGGGUGAGUAACACGUGAGUAACCUGCCCUUAACUCUGGGAUAAGCCUGGGAAACUGGGUCUAAUACCGGAUAGGAGCGUCCACCGCAUGGUGGGUGUUGGAAAGAUUUAUCGGUUUUGGAUGGACUCGCGGCCUAUCAGCUUGUUGGUGAGGUAAUGGCUCACCAAGGCGACGACGGGUAGCCGGCCUGAGAGGGUGACCGGCCACACUGGGACUGAGACACGGCCCAGACUCCUACGGGAGGCAGCAGUGGGGAAUAUUGCACAAUGGGCGAAAGCCUGAUGCAGCGACGCCGCGUGAGGGAUGACGGCCUUCGGGUUGUAAACCUCUUUCAGUAGGGAAGAAGCGAAAGUGACGGUACCUGCAGAAGAAGCACCGGCUAACUACGUGCCAGCAGCCGCGGUAAUAC